rnacentral:rRNA from 1 species
UGCCAGCAGCCGCGGUAACACGUAGGGGGCGAGCGUUGUCCGGAUUUAUUGGGCGUAAAGAGCUCGUAGGCGGUUCGGUAAGUCGGGUGUGAAAGUCCAGGGCUCAACCCUGGGAGGCCACCCGAUACUGCCGUGACUAGAGUCCGGUAGAGGAGUGUGGAAUUUCUGGUGUAGCGGUGAAAUGCGCAGAUAUCGGAAGGAACACCAGUGGCGAAGGCGACUUCCUGGGCCAAUACUGACGCUGAGGUGCGAAAGUGUGGGGAUCAAACCGGAUUAGAUA